UUCUAAAGCAAAAUACAG
rnacentral:sRNA from 1 species